CAACCCUUAAGUAAUGCUUGUUAUUGGGCUCCGCUGCUCACCCGGCCGGCCUUAAAAUCAGUGGCGGUGCCGUUAGGCCCUGAGCGUAGUAAACAUCCUCGCUAUAGGGACCCGGUGGACACUAGCUAUCAACCCCUAUUUUCCAA
rnacentral:misc_RNA from 1 species